CUGCCGUGACCGGCUCGGGGAGGUGGCCAACCGCUCCCGGAACCGCAGCUCCUGGAGAAAGCGGGCUGGAGCACGCGGGGCUGUCAGGCGCCUGGCCGGGACUGGCGAGUGCAGGAGGCUCACCCACUCCUUCCUCUAGUGGACGGUUUCCGCAGCCGCUGUUCGUCCUUUAGCUCCUGCAGCGAGUUGGAGGAUUUCUCUAAAUAUCUCCCUAGAGGUUUUUUAGUGAGGAAGAUUCGCCCUGAGCUGACACCUCUAUUUUGCAUGUGGGAUGCCUGCACAGUGUGGCUGACGAGCAGAGAAGGUCUGCACCCGCGAUCCACAGCCACGAACCCUGGCCACUGAAGUGGAGUGCCCAGAACUUUAACCACUUGGCCAGGGGGCUGCCCCCAAGUGUUUUAUUUUUAAUUUUCGAAUUUUUACAUUCUUUCCAUAUUGGCAUAGCUGAUGAUUUCUAUUAUUUUAUUUUAUAUUUAUAUUUAUUUAUACUAAAUGCAUGUUGUAAACUUAAGCAGCACAGGAAUAAAUAAAAUGUAAAGCAAAGCUCCUCCCCAUCCUCAGUGGCUUCCUCCCCUCAAGGAACACACUAUCAACAGUUUCUAGAGUGUUUUUCCGGAAGGUUCUGUGCAUAGAAGAGCAUGUCUGCAUAGACAGGAUGGGAGGCAGCGGGUGCAGGGGGAACAGGAACUCUGUGGCUGGAGUGCCCAGGUCAGAUUCUGCCUCUGCCACUAAUUGCGUGACCUCUGUGAGUGACAGAUCCUUCUGUGCUUUGGUUUCCUCAUUUGCAAAAUGGUGGUGAAAAACAGAUAAAAUGAAUCGAUAUUUAUACAGGAUUUUGAUCAAUACCUGGAAUAUAUUAAACAUAGUGUAACUGCUUAUUGAAAAAUAAAGUUUUUGUUUGCUUUAAACUUACACACAUCUAUCUUUCACUCUUGCCUUUUAAAUAUAAUUUAGAAAU
rnacentral:lncRNA from 1 species